rnacentral:lncRNA from 1 species
UUUGAACUGCCUUUAGUUUAAAAUUGACUAAAACAAAAUUCGCCGAGUUCCUCUUUUGUGUCAUCUCAACACUCUCGUCAGGUCUCCAUAAGAAAUUGACUACCGCCGACUGCACAGACAAGUUACUGUUUGCUUUGAUCUUGUUCUUGCUUUUGCUGAUAGUUGAAACUUUGUUGGAUCAGUUCGUAAAUGAAUUUUCUUAUAAAUUGUGGAGGAUUUGAAUAAUUUAACGAUUUUUUUUUUUCAAAUUUCUUACUUUAUAUUUCCUCUUUCAUGUGAUUUGGUGUUUAACUUGAUUUGUGAAACUGCUGCUUGAAAGUUGAAUACACAUACACAUUGAAUGAAACAUUUAAACUCGUGCAGAUUUAGAAAACGAGAAGAAAUUUAAAUCAGAAAAAUUUUCUCUCCUUAUCUUGUUCACAAGUUUUCUUAUAUUCACAAAUAAUUGUGAUGUUUAUUUUGUUCAGUAGCUUGGAAUUAUCUAUUUUUUUAUUGAAAAAAACUAGGGAAUGCGCACCAUUAUACUUCGCCACCGCAUUUGGAAAUUUUCAGAGAUAUCUUUUAUUUAGCCCCGCGCUUUAAAAUUCGGGUAUGGGGCAGAUUUUCGGAUCACGGGGAUCCGAUGAAGUUUGUAGGUGCCCCAAAAACUGAACAGCAGAAGAGGAAGCACCAUGACCAAGAAUCAAAAGAGGAGAAGAGAGAACGGAAGGUAUUUAUGUGUUAUUCCGGAUUUCACUGUAUAUUUUUGUGCAUUUGCCACAUAGUAGUAUGCGUUAUUGUUUGUGGACAGUCUUCUUGCUUUUUUCAAGAUGCUUGCAAAAUUUCAAAUAUUGUCUUAGGUUGAUGUUGUUUAUCUAUGUACGCUUAAAUGUGAUUUGAUAAGGACAUGUACCGCACGCAGACUGCAGUGAACGAGAGAUGACGUGGAGCUCAGUGAGCUAAAAAAGAAAUAAAUGAGCUGUAUAGGUGUGAAGCGCAGCGUGCUCAAAAUGUUAUCGCUAUCUCUUGCUCGUCUUCCAUUCAUCUGAUGUAAGUAUUUUGAUCAUCAAAUGUUCUUUCAAUGCAUCAUGAAUAAGAAAUUUGGAUGAAUAUUCUUUUGGAUUAUUUAAUAUCAAAGGAGAUUGUGUUUGUGAAGCUUGAUUGAAUAAUGCUCUAAUAAUCAAUUGAUUAGAAAAUUGAUUGCUCAUUUGUUUUAAAAUAGGUGAAAUUUGACAUCAGAUUGUCACUUAAGGCAGUGUGAUCAUGCAGCAGGUUUUAUUUUUCCUUUUUUGGAGGUCGAUGUUGAUUCCAAAACAACUUGAUCACAACUACAAUCUUUGAUAAGCAUAGGCACCAUAUGACUACCCAUCCUUUAUUGCCUUCCAAAAUUGGCAAAGGAGCAGGAAAUUGAUCUCGCUUGUUUUAGUUUAAUGUUUAAUAUUUUAUUUUUGGUAUGCUUAUCUCAUGUCAUAAUCAUAAAAUAUGUUCUAGGUUUCUGUGAGACCUCUUGUCAUUGAAAAAAAAAAUGCAAGACCGACAAAUGAAUAAGUAGAACUGCUUAUUGUUGUAGCCAGUAGUAGAACUCUUCUAUCACACACUUUUUGGUUCAUAUUUAUGCAUAUUUAUUUAUGUCACCUUACACAGUUUGGUCUUAUAAUUUGUUUGUUCGUUGUUUCUUUGGAAUGAGAUAAUGAUUUUUUUUUCUCUCAUGUUCUUAUCUUGAUAUAUCUAUCUAUCUGUAUUCUUCAAU